rnacentral:rRNA from 1 species
GUGUCCGAGGUGCUUGGCGACGACAACCUCCUCAUCGAGAUCCUCGUCCGCCUCCCUCCGAAGCAGUCCUCGCUCUCCCGUUCGUCCGUCGUAUCCAAGCACUGGGGCAGCAUCCUCUACGACCCCCAGUUCCGCAAAUCCUUCCUCAAGCACCACCGGAAGCCUCCUCUGCUUGGGUUCUUCAGAGGGUAUGCUAAAAGCUUCAUUCCUGCCAUGGACUCGCCUUACCGUAUCCCUACUGCCCGCUUCUCCCUGCCCAAGAGCACCAUAGCCUACAACACUGAUGAAGCAUACAUGGGCUGCUGCCAUGGUCUCUCUGUCCUAAUUGACACGAAUAAGCAUGACACCGUCGUGUGGGAUCCCCUCACCGGCAAAGAGCACAUCUUGGCUUUUCCACCAGUAUUCCACUCUAUGAGGACAAACUCAACCUGGCAUGGCGUUGUACUGUGCGUUGAUGCCGAAGAUGGGCACGUCCAUGCAGAUUGCUUCUCAAGCCCAUUUAAAUUGGUUUAGGUCUGCGAUGGAUUCAGUUCACAGGCAUCUUGUUCUCUCUAUGACUCGGCAUCUAGCAUUUGGGGCAAUAUUUUCUCGGUGACCAUAGCAAAUAAGAUUUCUGCGACAAGCCACAGCAUCCUUGUCGGGAAUACACUUUGCUGGUUGAUUUGUGGUGGUGAAGUUCUUGUUUUUGAUUUCGAAAUGCAAAGUCUUGUUGUGAUCAAGACAUCGGUGGAAAACCAUGUUACCAACGACGUGUUUCAGCUCUUGCGGAUGGCCGAUGGUGGCCUUGGCCUUGCUGGUUUGUUGGACCUGACGAUCCAAUUAUGGAGGAAAUCUAACUGUGAUGGUAUUGACGAAUGGGUGUUGCUGCGCAAAACCAUUCCACUGGAUGAGAUGCUUCCAAGGAGAAUAAGUUAUGGAUUUUUUGUUGGGUAUGAUGAGGACACAAAUUUGGUUGUUCUAUAUACGAUGAUUGGCAACUUCACGCUCCAAAUUGACUCGAUGCAGAUCAAGCAUAUUGUUAAAAGAAACUAGAUAUGUCAUGACACCUUUCAUACCUACAGGAAUAUCUAUACUACAGGUAAUUGCUUUGAUGCCUGGCCAUUGCUAAAGGCUAAAUACAAUUACGUGCUUGUAAUGAUCUUUUCAUCAGAGGGUUUCUAG